rnacentral:rRNA from 1 species
CCUACGGGUGGCAGCAGUGGGGAAUAUUGGACAAUGGGGGGAACUCUGACCCAGCAACGCCGCGUGAAUGAUGAAGUUCUUCGGUUUGUAAAGUUCUUUUCUAAGGGAAGAAAGAAAUGACGGUACCUUACGAAGAAGCCUCGGCUAACUACGUGCCAGCAGCCGCGGUAAUACGUAGGGGGCGAGCGUUAUCCGGAGUGACUGGGCGUAAAGGGAGCGUAGGUGGUUCGGCAAGUUAGUAGUGUAACGCGAAGGCGCAACCUUUGAACUGCUAUUGAAACUGUAGGACUUGAGUGCAGGAGGGGUAAGUGGAAUUCCUGGUGUAGCGGUGGAAUGCGUAGAUAUUAGGAGGAACACCAGUGGCGAAGGCGGGUUACUAGACUGUAACUGACACUGAGGCUCGAAAGCGUGGGGAGCAAACAGGAUUAGAUACCCUGGUAGUC